rnacentral:rRNA from 1 species
GACGAACGCUGGCGGCGUGCUUAACACAUGCAAGUCGAACGGUAAGGCUCCAGCUUGCUGGGGUACACGAGUGGCGAACGGGUGAGUAACACGUGGGUGACCUGCCCUGCACUUCGGGAUAAGCCUGGGAAACUGGGUCUAAUACCGGAUAGGACCGCACCGUGAGGGUGUGGUGGAAAGUUUUUUCGGUGUGGGAUGGGCCCGCGGCCUAUCAGCUUGUUGGUGGGGUAAUGGCCUACCAAGGCGGCGACGGGUAGCCGGCCUGAGAGGGUGGACGGCCACAUUGGGACUGAGACACGGCCCAGACUCCUACGGGAGGCAGCAGUGGGGAAUAUUGCACAAUGGGCGGAAGCCUGAUGCAGCGACGCCGCGUGGGGGAUGACGGCCUUCGGGUUGUAAACUCCUUUCACCAUCGACGAAGGGUUUCUGACGGUAGAUGGAGAAGAAGCACCGGCUAACUACGUGCCAGCAGCCGCGGUAAUACGUAGGAUGCGAGCGUUGUCCGGAAUUACUGGGCGUAAAGAGCUCGUAGGUGGUUUGUCGCGUCGUCUGUGAAAUUCCGGGGCUUAACUCCGGGCGUGCAGGCGAUACGGGCAUAACUUGAGUACUGUAGGGGAGACUGGAAUUCCUGGUGUAGCGGUGAAAUGCGCAGAUAUCAGGAGGAACACCGGUGGCGAAGGCGGGUCUCUGGGCAGUAACUGACGCUGAGGAGCGAAAGCAUGGGGAGCGAACAGGAUUAGAUACCCAGGUAGUCCAUGCCGUAAACGGUGGGCGCUAGGUGUGGGUUUCCUUCCACGGGAUCCGUGCCGUAGCUAACGCAUUAAGCGCCCCGCCUGGGGAGUACGGCCGCAAGGCUAAAACUCAAAGGAAUUGACGGGGGCCCGCACAAGCGGCGGAGCAUGUGGAUUAAUUCGAUGCAACGCGAAGAACCUUACCUGGGCUUGACAUAUACAGGAUCGCGCCAGAGAUGGUGUUUCCCUUGUGGCUUGUAUACAGGUGGUGCAUGGUUGUCGUCAGCUCGUGUCGUGAGAUGUUGGGUUAAGUCCCGCAACGAGCGCAACCCUUGUCUUAUGUUGCCAGCACGUUGUGGUGGGGACUCGUAAGAAACUGCCGGGGUUAACUUGGAGGAAGGUGGGGAUGACGUCAAAUCAUCAUGCCCCUUAUGUCCAGGGCUUCACACAUGCUACAAUGGUCGGUACAGUGGGUUGCCAGUCCGUGAGGGCGAGCUAAUCCCGCAAAGCCGGUCUCAGUUCGGAUCGGGGUCUGCAACUCGACCCCGUGAAGUCGGAGUCGCUAGUAAUCGCAGAUCAGCAACGCUGCGGUGAAUACGUUCCCGGGCCU